GGCAACAUGGCCGAGCGGUCUAAGGCGCUACGUUCAGGUGAUCAUCCGUUGAAAACCCCAUUCGUAGUCUGGUAUCAGGCGUGAGUUCGAAUCUCACUGUUGUCA